rnacentral:rRNA from 1 species
CUACGGGAGGCACCAGUGGGGAAUAUUGGACAAUGGGGGAAACCCUGAUCCAGCAAUGCCGCGUGUGUGAAGAAGGCCUGCGGGUUGUAAAGCACUUUCGGUUGGGAGGACUGCUUCUAGCACUAAUAUUGUUGGAAGUUGACGUUACCUUCAGAAGAAGCACCGGCUAACUCCGUGCCAGCAGCCGCGGUAAUACGGAGGGUGCAAGCGUUAAUCGGAAUUACUGGGCGUAAAGCGCGCGUAGGCGGCUAGAUCAGUCGGGUGUGAAAGCCCCGGGCUUAACCUGGGCACUGCAUCCGAACUGGCUAGGCUGGGGUAAGGGAGGGAGGGUGGAAUUCCACAUGGUGGGGGGAAAUGGGUAGAUUUGUGGAGGAACACCAAUGGGGAAGGCAGCUCUCCGGCCUGGUUAUGAAGGCGGGGUGCGGAAGCGUGGGGAGCAAACAGGAUUAGAUACCCGGGUAGUC